rnacentral:rRNA from 1 species
GAUGAACGCUGGCGGCGUGCUUAACACAUGCAAGUCGAACGAAGCACUUUAUUUUAUUUCCUUCGGGACUGAUUAUUUUGUGACUGAGUGGCGGACGGGUGAGUAACGCGUGGGUAACCCGCCUUGUACAGGGGGAUAACAGUUGGAAACGGCUGCUAAUACCGCAUAAGCGCACAGCAUCGCAUGAUGCAGUGUGAAAAACUCCGGUGGUAUAAGAUGGACCCGCGUUGGAUUAGCUAGUUGGUGAGGUAACGGCCCACCAAGGCGACGAUCCAUAGCCGAACUGAGAGGGUGACCGGCCACAUUGGGACUGAGACACGGCCGAAACUCCUACGGGAGGCAGCAGUGGGGAAUAGUGCACAAUGGGCGAAAGCCUGAUGCAGCGACGCCGCGUGAGAGAAGAAGUAUUUCGGUAUGUAAAGCUCUAUCAGCAGGGAAGAUAAUGACGGUACCUGACUAAGAAGCACCGGCUAAAUACGUG